AUUGAACGCUGGCGGCAGGCUUAACACAUGCAAGUCGAGCGAGCGGCGGACGGGUGAGUCAUGUCUGGGAAACUGCCUGAUGGCGGGGGAUAACUACUGGAAACGGUAGCUAAUACCGCAUACCAUCAGCUGUGCCCAGAUGGGAUUAGCUAGUAGGUGGGGUAAUGGCUCACCUAGGCGACGAUCCCUAGCUGGUCUGAGAGGAUGACCAGCCACACUGGAACUGAGACACGGUCCAGACUCCUACGGGAGGCAGCAGUGGGGAAUAUUGCACAAUGGGCGCAAGCCUGAUGUAGCCAGGCCGCGUGUGUGAAGAAGGCCUUCGGGUUGUAAAGCACUUUCAGCGAGGAGGCGGUACUCGCAGAAGAAGCACCGGCUAACUCCGUGCCAGCAGCCGCGGUAAUAC
rnacentral:rRNA from 1 species